GACGGAAUUCUGGUCUAGAACCUCUACAAGGCUUUCGUUUUGACCAAGCUGAGAUGUGAUCAGGCCGUAUAAAGUCCACGCUACCGGUGAUCCCCAGUAAUACCACCUCCACCAGAUCGGUAUUUGCUGUAAUGUUCAGAUUAGUGAUUUAGGUUGUCAUACCGUUCUAGGGAUCAGGAAACCGGAGAACAAGUUCCAGAAAUUGAGGAAGAAGGUCAUAGAAAUGGCUGCAAUCUGAUAAUUGGGUGUGAGGGCCACAAGCAUCAUUCCGUAUAAUGUGAAAUAGACAAAGGACAUGAACAUGUAGAAGUAGAACCAUAAGAACCUGUCUGCGGACCACUGGAAUCCAAUCAUGGAGUAAAUCAGAAGACUGUAUAUGAUCGUUUGGAUGCCUACAUAAACCACCUCAAUGGCCACCUGCAGAUAAAAAUAAUCAUCUCCUUUGAGUUUUCUAGAAAUGCCAUUAGAAACAGAAAAGCUAACAGCUUUCUCAUACCUGAGCAAAUGCAUAAGGGAUUGGUGAAUACAUCCCUGCUGCUUUCUCACGAUAGAAAACUGUUCGUUCUAUAGACACCACAGACUGCACAGUUGAAGUGUUGGUUCCACCAAGAAACAAUACAGCAGCAUACAUAGCUCCCAUCAGAUUCAUUACAUCUUGUUGUUUUUCACUGUCAAAGCGACACAAAUUCAUUUAGAAUUACAUUCUGAAUGUGAAAACGAUAUGAUGCUUUUGAUUUCUUACGUCUUUUGGCCUUUGUCCCAGAAAAUCACUCCAAAUAGAAUGCCAAUUAUUGUUGUCAUGAAGAACCGAACAACAUUAUACUGUGGAUGCCUCCAGUAUGACCAGUGUUGUUUCCAAAAACAAGCCAUGCAUUGUGUCCAAAAGGAUUGAGAGUACUUUGUAGGGAAGUAAAGGUCCUUGGACCCUGGUACUGGUGUACUUACUACCUCAAUGAGCUCCUGGCUCUGCCUGUUAGAAAGAACCCAUUAGCAAGAAGCUUAGUAGAAUCUAAAAGACAGGUUCAAAGAUUCAUACUUGUAAAGAUCAGAAUUGGCAUAAAUCUCUGCAAAAUCAACACCAAGUUGAGUUUCGACUGCUGAAGAAGUAACUUCAAGCAUCCAUGUGGCGGGAUUUUGACCUUGUUUGAUUUUGUUAACUCCUGGAAUAGACUGAAAAGUUUGAUCGAGUUUUUAGAUUUUUUUUUGUUGUA